rnacentral:rRNA from 1 species
AUUGAACGCUGGCGGCAUGCCUUACACAUGCAAGUCGAACGGUAACAGGUCUUCGGAUGCUGACGAGUGGCGAACGGGUGAGUAAUACAUCGGAACGUGCCUAGUAGUGGGGGAUAACUACUCGAAAGAGUAGCUAAUACCGCAUGAGAUCUACGGAUGAAAGCAGGGGACCUUCGGGCCUUGUGCUACUAGAGCGGCCGAUGGCAGAGUAGGUAGUUGGUGGGAUAAAAGCUUACCAAGCCGACGAUCUGUAGCUGGUCUGAGAGGACGAGCAGCCACACUGGGACUGAGACACGGCCCAGACGCCUACGGGAGGCAGCAGUGGGGAAUUUUGGACAAUGGGCGAAAGCCUGAUCCAGCAAUGCCGCGUGCAGGAUGAAGGCCUUCGGGUUGUAAACUGCUUUUGUACGGAACGAAAAGACUCUUUCUAAUAAAGAGGGUCCAUGACGGUACCGUAAGAAUAAGCACCGGCUAACUACGUGCCAGCCGCCGCCGUAAGAC